rnacentral:rRNA from 1 species
CCUACGGGUGGCAGCAGUGGGGAAUAUUGGACAAUGGGCGCAAGCCUGAUCCAGCCAUGCCGCGAGUGUGAUGAAGGCCUUAGGGUUGUAAAGCACUUUCGCCGAUGAAGAUAAUGACGGUAGUCGGAGAAGAAGCCCCGGCUAACUUCGUGCCAGCAGCCGCGGUAAUACAAAGGGGGCAAGCGUUGUUCGGAUUUACUGGGCGUAAAGCGUACGUAGGCGGAUGAUUAAGUCAGGGGUGGAAUCCCGGGGCUCAACCUCGGAACUGCCUUUGAUACUGGUCGUCUUGAGUCCGGGAGAGGUGAGUGGAACUCCUAGUGUAGAGGUGAAAUUCGUAGAUAUUAGGAAGAACACCAGUGGCGAAGGCGGCUCACUGGCCCGGAACUGACGCUGAGGUACGAAAGCGUGGGGAGCAAACAGGAUUAGAUACCCCUGUAGUC